GCUAGUUUCGGUGUAGCCAAUCUUGAAAUACCACCCUGGUAAUAUUGAGGUUCUAACUCUGUCCCGUAAUCCGGGACGAGGACCAUGUCUGGUGGGUAGUUUGACUGGGGCGGUCUCCUCCUAAAGAGUAACGGAGGAGUACGAAGGUGCGCUCAGCGUGGUCGGAAAUCACGCGUAGAGUAUAAAGGCAAAAGCGCGCUUAACUGCGAGACCCACAAGUCGAGCAGGUACGAAAGUAGGUCAUAGUGAUCCGGUGGUUCUGUAUGGAAGGGCCAUCGCUCAACGGAUAAAAGGUACUCCGGGGAUAAC
rnacentral:rRNA from 11 species